rnacentral:rRNA from 1 species
UACGAAGGGGGCUAGCGUUGCUCGGAAUCACUGGGCGUAAAGGGUGCGUAGGCGGGUCUUUAAGUCAGGGGUGAAAUCCUGGAGCUCAACUCCAGAACUGCCUUUGAUACUGAAGAUCUUGAGUUCGGGAGAGGUGAGUGGAACUGCGAGUGUAGAGGUGAAAUUCGUAGAUAUUCGCAAGAACACCAGUGGCGAAGGCGGCUCACUGGCCCGAUACUGACGCUGAGGCGCGAAAGCGUGGGGAGCAAACGGG